rnacentral:rRNA from 1 species
AGAGUUUGAUUCUGGCUCAGGACGAACGCUGGCGGUGCGCCUAAUGCAUGCAAGUCUACUACUUGUGACUUCGGUCACGCUAUAGUGGUGGCAGACGGCUUAGUAACACGUAAGUAAUCUACCCUCAAGUGGGGGACAAUCCGAAGAAAUUCGGUCUAAUACCCCAUAAUGUUUUAAUAUAUAUGUAUUGAAAAGAAAGAUUUAUCGCUUUUGGAGGAGCUUGCGGCCUAUCAGGUAGUUGGUAAGGGUAAUGGCCUACCAAGCCAAAGACGGGUAACCGAAGUGAGAGCUUGAUCGGUAAGAGGGGGACUGAGACACGGCCCCCACUCCUACGGGAGGCAGCAGCAGGGAAUCUUGCGCAAUGGACUGUAUGGUCUGACGCAGCGACACCGCGUGGAGGAUGAAUGCUUUAGGGUUGUAAACUCCUUUUCUUAGGGAAGAUGAUGACGGUACCUAAGGAAUAAGCAUCGGCUAACUACGUGCCAGCAGCCGCGGUAAUACGUAGGAUGCGAGCGUUGUCCGGAAUUAUUGGGCGUAAAGGGCGUCUAGGUUGAUUAAUAAGUCCUGUGUGAAAUCUCUUGGCUCAACCAAGAAAUGUCACAGGAAACUAUUAAUCUAGAGGUCAUCAGAGGUAAGUGGAAUUCACGGAGUAGUGGUGAAAUGCGUAGAUACCGUGAGGAACACCAGAGGCGAAAGCGGCUUACUAGGAUGAACCUGACACUAAAGCGCGAAAGCGUGGGUAGCAAACCGGAUUAGAUACCCGGGUAGUCCACGCCAUAAACGAUGGAUACUAGUUAUGGGAGGCAUUGACCCAUCUGUAACGAAGCUAACGCAUUAAGUAUCCCGCCUGGGGAGUACGGCCGCAAGGUUAAAACUCAAAGAAAUUGACGGGGGCCCGCACAAGCAGCGGAGCGUGUGGUUUAAUUCGAUGAUAAGCGAAGAACCUUACCAAGGCUUGAAAUAUAUCUGACAGCUAGUGAAAGCUAGUCUCCUUCGGGCAGAUAUACAGAUGUUGCAUGGCUGUCGUCAGCUCGUGCCGUGAGGUGUU